CACGUAGUUAGCCGGCGCUUCUUCUGCAGGUACCGUCACUUGCGCUUCUUCCCUGCUGAAAGAGGUUUACAACCCGAAGGCCGUCAUCCCUCACGCGGCGUCGCUGCAUCAGGCUUUCGCCCAUUGUGCAAUAUUCCCCCACUGCUGCCUCCCGUAGGAGUCUGGGCCGUGUCUCAGUCCCAGUGUGGCCGGUCGCCCUCUCAGGCCGGCUACCCGUCGACGCCUUGGUAGCCGUUACCCCACCAACAAGCUGAUAGGCCGCGAGCCCAUCCCUCACCGAAAAACCUUUCCAACACCCACCAUGCGAUGAGCGCUCAUAUCCGGUAUUAGACCCCGUUUCCAAGGCUUAUCCCGAAGUGAAGGGCAGGUUGCUCACGUGUUACUCACCCGUUCGCCACUGAUCCACCCAGCAAGCUGGGCUUCACCGUUCGACUUGCAUGUGUUAAGCACGCCGCCAGCGUCGUCCUGCGCACGGAGUCAACUAC
rnacentral:rRNA from 1 species